AUGAAUAAUAGCUUUCCAGUUUGUCGAUUUUCGACUUUCCUUAAUUCUGUCACUAUAACUCAGAGCACUAUAAAGCCCAGCAUCCCUGUGGAUUUAGGAAGAAAUUGGAAACCAAUUCCAAUUCCCCACAGAACAAUCCCUGAACCCAGAGGUCAGGACCUUGAUUUCAUAAAUGUUGCACACAGCCAUCUAAUUCACUCUGAUUGGUCUAAGCUCAGUUCCUUAUCAACCGGUCUAACACCCCUUAGAGUGAAACAUAUAUUGUUAAAGAUUCAGAAGGACCAUGUUCUCUCCCUCGAGUUUUUUAAAUGGGUUGGGAUUCAGAAACCAUGUGGUCAUAACCUUGAAACCCAUUCAAUAAUCCUCCACAUUCUCACCAAAAACCAGAAAUUCAAGUCUGCAGAGUCCAUUUUGAGGAAGGUUCUUGUAUCAGGUUCAAUAGAUGUGCCCUUGAAUCUGUUUGAAGAAAUGCUGCACUUGUACCGCUUGUGUGAUUCUUCGCCUCGUGUUUUUGACUCACUUUUCAAGACUCUUGCACAUAUGAAGAAGUUUAGGAAUGCCACUGAUAUUUUUUGUCGAAUGAAAGAUUAUGGGUUUUUUCCUACUAUUGAGUCAUGUAAUGCAUACAUGAGUUCUUUGCUUGAUUUGCACAGGAUGGAUAUUGCCUUGGCAUUCUAUAAAAGAAUGCAGCGUUAUAGGAUUUCGUCAAAUGUUUAUACUCUUAAUAUGGUCAUGUGUUCUUAUUGUAAAUUGGGGAAAUUGGACAAGGCUGUUGAGAUUUUUAGGGAGAUGGAAGGCAUGGGUUUUAGUCCGAAUAUUGCAUCUUAUAAUACACUAAUUGCAGGAUAUUGCAAUAAGGCUCUUUUGAGCUCCGCGAUGAAGCUUAAAAACUCAAUGGAGAAGAAUGGGGUCCAUCCGAAUGUGGUUACAUUUAACACACUCAUUUAUGGGUUUUGGAAGGAAGAAAAAUUACAUGAAGCUGGUAAAGUUUUCAAUGAGAUGAAAGCAGUGAAUGUUUCUCCUAAUACUGUGACCUACAACACCUUGAUAAAUGGGUAUAGCCAAGUGGGUAACAGUGAGAUGGGAGGUAGGCUUUAUGAUGAGAUGUUGAGGAGUCAAGUUAAGGCUGAUAUCUUGACUUAUAAUGCCUUGAUUUUGGGACUAUGCAAGGAGGGUAAGACAAAGAAGGCAGCAUAUCUGGUUAAAGAACUUGAUAAGGAGAACUUAGUACCAAAUGCCUCGACCUUUUCUGCCCUUAUUAGCGGUCAGUGUGCAAGGAAGAACUCUGAGCGGGCCUUUCAGCUAUAUAAAAGCAUGGUAAGGUGUGGUUGUCAUCCUAAUGAACAAACUUUCAAGAUAUUGAUAUCAACCUUCUGCAAGAAUGAGGAUUUUGAUGGAGCAGUUCAAGUGUUGAGGGAAAUGAUUGAGAGAUCUAUGACUCCUGAUUCAGGCAUCUUAUCUGAAGUUUUUGUUGGACUUUGUCAGUGUGGAAAAAGUCAAUUAGCAAAGAUGUUGUACAGUGAGAUGGAAGCUAGACAUCUUAUGCCAGCAGGUUUUGAAAUAUCCAAAACCAUUAACUUUGAUGCUGAGAAUGAGAACAAAGCAUCUGGAGAUAACUGGUAAGGCUGUAUAUACUAUACACCUGAACUUUCUAUGUAACGUAUGGGGUUGUGUGGAAUUCAUUGCCUGAGCUCUCCUUGUAACUUUUAAUAAUUAGCCUUUAGUUGUAAGUCCAGUUUUACUAUGACAACAAAACUAAAGCAAGUUUUGCUUGUAAAAAGAAGUAGCAUACUUAACAGUGUUUUUGAGUCUUUUGACAAACCACUGUCUUGUUAAUCUCAUUGUUUUAGGCAUAAUAAGGUGCAAUUGUAUACAGAUUUCUUACUUUGAGCAUGUAGCAGAUUUUGUGCUCUGCUUCAGAGGUUAUCUUUUCUUAUUAACAUUUUACUGAAGACUCUUAAGGCCCAUUUUUAUUUUUUUUAUUUACCGAAUGGCACUUUAGUUGUAAUUUAAUAUAGACCUGUUUGUUGUUAUGGAUUUAUCACAGAUUUGCAUUUAAACUUCGUGUUAUUUGCUUGAUCUUCUCUUCUUCUUUUUCAUUUUCCUUUUAUUUAUUUAUACAACCAAAUGGAAAGAGUGCUUGGCAGCUUUUUGCAUCUUUCCAUUUGGUUGGUUGUAUUAACUUAGGAUAAGCUGCUGCAGGCGCUCUAACCAUUCUUCUAAACCGGCAAACUCAUGAGACAAGUGAGAGUCUCUCACUUGUUGAUAUUAACAACCAAAAUCUUGUUGACAAUCCAACCACUCUCACUUGUAUUAACCACCAAAACUCUGUCGGCAAAACAACAAUAUGAACCAUCAAUGAAGCAAAGCGAAAAAUAUUAUAUAUUAGUCACGUAAGCACAUUCCAUCAAAAGAAAAUAUGAAAUCUAAUAUAUAUAUAUAUAUAUUUUUUUUUUUGAGUUGUGAAAUCUAAUACAAUUAUAAUUAAAAGAUGUAUGAUAUUUUUUUUACUUGCUAAAGGAAACAAAGUUGGCCUUGUACUUGACAAAUUAUGAGGUGAGUAAAGAGAGUGUCACUUACAAUUUUAAGAAGUAACCGUUAGUCUCUAAUAAAACUUAUUUCACUGAUCUCUAUGUUGCUAUUGUUAACGAAUCAAUAAGGGAGUAAGGAAUGGAGGGAAUUAGUGAAUUUUUAAAUUGGGAGAGUUAAAUGAUAGAGCAAGCAAGACUUUUGAUCCAGAUGGGCUGUAUACUGUUUACGUACUUGAUUUAUAUUCAGCAACGUAACAAAAUCAUAGUCAUUUGUAACCUUGUUGAAAUCUUUCUAAAGUGACAAAAAGAUUUAUAAAAAAAAAAAGGGCCAAAAAUCAAAAUUACACCAUUUAAGUUUGCUGUAUUGUUAUUAUUGUCCUAAAAUUUUUAAAUUUUUUUUUUCCAUUUUAGUUCUUAAACUUAACAUAUAUGUCAAAUUAGACUUUUUGUCCAUUGUUGUCUAUAAAAUUGUUGUUAAGUGUUAUAAAAUGAUGUUGUAUCAAAUGCGUAAAUAGUGCCAGUUUUACAAACAGUGAGAGUAAUGACCGACUUGUCAAAAAAAAAAGUUCAAGUUUUGUGGCCGAAAUGACCCAAAAAAAAAAAAAACCCGAAUUUAAAGGGUAUUAAUUUAGAUUUUAGCCAUUUGUUUAAAGGUUAUCUUGUGACGUGUUAGGGAUUAGACGCACACACAAUCUUUUGUGACCAUGCCAUUAUGCCAUAGUCGAAAUGUGUUGUAAGCAGAGACGGACCUAUGUAGGGGCCAGGGACAGAGGGAGACACUAAUUUUAGCAAUUUUGUUCUAUAAAAUCACAUUUUGCCUCUCUCAACAUUAUCAUUAAUUCUUUUAAGAGUACUACUCUAGCCACAAACUUUACUAUAACAUUUUUACAAGCUGUUGAGGUAGUAAAAUUUUAUUAGUUUGCAUCCAGGCCCAUAACAUAAAUUACAAUAUUUUUACUUACUAAUAACUACUUAUCACAUUAAUAAUUUGUAAAAAAGUUUGUAUUUUUAGCAUUUUUCUCAUUUUAAAGGCAAGAUCUAAAAUCUAAAGCAAAAUAAACAAGCUCAAAAAAAUUAUUCAAUAACAAAAAUUACCAAUAGUAAAGUUAAAAACAAUUAAACUCAAUCAACCAAUUUUAUCCAAAUGAAACAACCUGAUCAUUUAAAAGUUUUUAAACAAAAUAAUUUUGUCCAACAGCAAAGCUGCCCACUAAUUUCAAGUCCUAACUCCGUCCCUGGUUGAGGCUGAGGGGCCAUGCCCCCCAAAUUUUGAAAAAAAAUAUAGAAUAGAAUAUAUAUCUAACCAGAAAAAUAAAAAUUUACCCCAAAAUAUAUAUUUUGGCCUUCCUCCUCCAAGAUAUUUACAUAUUAACCCAUGAAAACCAAAAAAAAAAACUACUCCAGCCUUUUGCCCGUUGGAUAUUGAUCCAAGAAUAACCAGAAAAUCCUCUAGUUUAAACAAAAGAAAUUUCCCUAAGAACAACAUCAAUAAUCUUUAGACAAACCAAAAUUAACUACAAAAUAAAUCACAAAUCCAAUCCAAAUAAAAAAAAAAACAAUAAAAAAUUCCCAACUUUAUCCAUUUAAUUUCUCUCUCUUAGUCUCGCUUCUCUCAAUCUUCCUCCAUUCCUCACUGCCUUUGACAUCAGGUCCACAAACUAGUCACUAGUCACCAAGCUCACUGAUCAGCUUGGUCUACUUUUCACACUUACACAUGAGUUGAGUUUGCUAAGGUAUGGUCUUCUCUUCUCAAUUAGUUGAUUUAUCUUUGCUGAUCUGACUUUAUUUCUUAACUAGUAUGUAAUCCAUGCGGGAUAUAUUAUUAAUCAUGAAUUUAUUCAUGUUUAAAAAGCUCAGUUAAGUCUAAAUUUAUAUUAUUAACCAGAAAAUUUCAUUAACAAAACUUAGCAGUAUAUAUAUGUGUGUGUGUGCGCAGUAAUGGAUAUAUUAUUAAUCAUGAGUUUAUUUAUGUUUAAAAGACUCAGUUAAGUCUAAAUUCAUAUUAUUAACCAGAAAAUUUCAUUAACAAAACUUAGCAGUAUAUAUAUAUAUAUAUAUAUAUAUUAUUUAUUCCAUUUUUGUUGUUUGAAAAUGAUAUUUAUAUGCAGAUGGAAGUUGUUGAUGAGAAUGAGUGGUGGGGUAAGAUAGAGCAGAUGAAAGGAGGAGGGGAAAAGGAGAUGAUAAUUAAGCACAAUUUCAGUCGAGCAGGCCAGCAAACCUUAUAUGAUAUGGAGCAAUUCAAGUGUUGAGGGAAAUGAUUGAGAGAUCUAUGACUCCCGAUUCAGGCAUCUUGUCUGAAGUUUUUGUUGGACUUUGUCAGGGUGGAAAAAGUCAAUUAGCAAAGAUGUUAUACAGUGAGAUGGAAGCUAGACAUCUUAUGCCAGCAGGUAAUUAACAAAACUUAGCAGUAUAUAUAUAUAUAUAUAUAUAUAUUAUUUAUUCCAUUUUUGUGGUUUGAAAAUGAUAUUUAUAUGCAGAUGGAAGUUGUUGAUGAGAAUGAGUGGUGGGGUAAGAUAGAGCAGAUGAAAGGAGGAGGGGAAAAGGAGAUGAUAAUUAAGCACAAUUUCAGUCGAGCAGGCCAGCAAACCUUAUAUGAUAUGGAGCAAUUCAAGUGUUGAGGGAAAUGAUUGAGAGAUCUAUGACUCCCGAUUCAGGCAUCUUGUCUGAAGUUUUUGUUGGACUUUGUCAGGGUGGAAAAAGUCAAUUAGCAAAGAUGUUAUACAGUGAGAUGGAAGCUAGACAUCUUAUGCCAGCAGGUUUUGAAAUAUCCAAAACCAUCAACUUUGAUGCUGAGAAUGAGAACAAAGCAUCUGGAGAUAAUUGGUAA
rnacentral:sRNA from 1 species